rnacentral:rRNA from 1 species
UUUAUGGAGAGUUUGAUCCUGGCUCAGGAUGAACGCUGGCGGCGUGCCUAAUACAUGCAAGUCGAGCGAACGGACGAGAAGCUUGCUUCUCUGAUGUUAGCGGCGGACGGGUGAGUAACACGUGGAUAACCUACCUAUAAGACUGGGAUAACUUCGGGAAACCGGAGCUAAUACCGGAUAAUAUUUUGAACCGCAUGGUUCAAAAGUGAAAGACGGUCUUGCUGUCACUUAUAGAUGGAUCCGCGCUGCAUUAGCUAGUUGGUAAGGUAACGGCUUACCAAGGCAACGAUGCAUAGCCGACCUGAGAGGGUGAUCGGCCACACUGGAACUGAGACACGGUCCAGACUCCUACGGGAGGCAGCAGUAGGGAAUCUUCCGCAAUGGGCGAAAGCCUGACGGAGCAACGCCGCGUGAGUGAUGAAGGUCUUCGGAUCGUAAAACUCUGUUAUUAGGGAAGAACAUAUGUGUAAGUAACUGUGCACAUCUUGACGGUACCUAAUCAGAAAGCCACGGCUAACUACGUGCCAGCAGCCGCGGUAAUACGUAGGUGGCAAGCGUUAUCCGGAAUUAUUGGGCGUAAAGCGCGCGUAGGC